rnacentral:rRNA from 1 species
UACAGAGGUCCCAAGCGUUGUUCGGAUUUACUGGGCGUAAAGGGCUCGUAGGUGGCCAACUAAGUCAGACGUGAAAUCCCUCGGCUUAACCGGGGAACUGCGUCUGAUACUGGACGGCUUGAGUUUGGGAGAGGGACGCGGAAUUCCAGGUGUAGCGGUGAAAUGCGUAGAUAUCUGGAGGAACACCGGUGGCGAAGGCGGCGUCCUGGACCAACACUGACACUGAGGAGCGAAAGCCAGGGGAGCAAACGGG